UUUUAAUUUAAAUCUACGUUUAUUUAUAUAGAACUGGAAGUUUUAAUAGGUUAAAUGAAGGUCUGAUAAUGCCACUAAAGUUUAAUCUAGAAAACUUCACAAAUACGAAAGUACAGACGCUUGAACGUAAAACUUUGCGUCAGCAAGAAGAAAUAGCAGAGUUGAAACGACAAAAUGCUUUACUUCACCUAAGGUUGGCACAAGCAUUACAGACUGCACAGUCAAGCAGGGAAGAAACAAAAUCAAUCUCAUCUCUGCAACAUAAGCAGGCAUUCAAUGUACAACGCAGCAACAAACACCUUGAGCAAACUCAAUCAGAACUGCAGCAUGUGCGAGACGAACUUGAAGUUCUAUCAAGUGACGUCGUGUCCAUGUUUUGCAACCUUCAGCAUUCAUGUUCCAACAAGCUACAAGUUGUUCAGCAAAAAGUUAACUCAGUGAAAAUGUCCAAUGAAGCAAAUGAGGCACUUCAAGUUCGUUUACACGAACUACACACAGUGUUAGAAGAAACACAAGCUUUGCAUUUGCGUGAAAAACAUAGAAGGCGUGAACUUCAUAAUAAUCUCGUUGAAAUACGAGGAAAUAUUCGUGUUCAAUGUAGAUUAAGACCAUAUUUGGAGUAUGAUAAAGACCCAGAUUCAGUGUUUCCAGAUGCUGUUUCUACUUGUAGUGAUGCCAGUGAAAAGGACAUUAGUGUAUAUUCGACCGAUGAUGAAACAAUAUCUGUGGAUUCCGAUUUCAAACCUCAAAAAUAUUUUGAAUAUGAGCAUGUGUAUGGACCUGAUUGCAGCCAGAAUGAUAUUUUUGAUGAAAUCCAACCAAUCUUAACCUCAUUCCUCGAUGGUUACAACGCAUGUGUUGUCGCCUAUGGUCAAACUGGAAGUGGAAAAACCCAUACUAUGCUGGGAAAUCCCCAUAAUCCAGGGAUAGUCCCUAAUUCAAUGAAUGAAUUGUUCAGGUUAAUUGAAGAGAAAUCCACAGAUUCUAUUUCUCUUGAAGUAUCUGUAGCUGAGGUUUACAAUAAUGAUAUUUAUGAUUUGUUAUCGGACAACCCAAAGCAGUUGAAACACGAUAUUGUCACAACACGUGGCAGUAGUAGAGACGUACCCACGUUGACGCAAAUCAAAGUGAAAUGUCCUGAAGAUGUUGAAUCCUUGAUGAGACUUGGUUUAAACAGGCGUGCACAGAUCGCUACCAAUGUCCACGAACAUUCAAGUCGUUCUCACCUCAUUGUAACCGUCACAGCCAUUGUAUGUCAACGUGAUGCACGUCCACAGUCAGUAUCUUCCAAUGUGUCAUCGGAACCAAACACACCAAGAAGAAGACCGUCUUCUGUAGAUUCCACCCACAGAGUGCGUCGCAAACUCCCCCAACCGACCCCUCCUAUAUUUGCAUCCACACCAAACCUUACCACCGAUGAUGUCAUCAAGUCAGUACCGGCAUCACCAGUUACCAUGCCAACCAAGUCCAUGUAUAAAACUAAACUACAACUUGUGGACCUUGCUGGCAGUGAAUGCGUGGUUACUCCACUUCCACCCAGGGAUGUCUGGAGUGACAGGAUCUGCUCUUCGCGAGUCCUCCUUCAUCAAUAGAUCGCUCUCUGCGCUCUCCGAUGUCCUCACUGCACUCUCGGAGCGGCGAUCCCACAUCCCGUACAGGAACUCCAAGCUCACUCAUCUCCUACAGGACUCUAUAGGAGGAGAUGCCAAGAUGAUGAUCAUGCUCUGCGUCUCCCCAACAAGGAAGUACCUCACUGAGACGAUGCAAACUUUACAAUUUGGUAGCCGAGCGCGACAGGUGCAGAGGGGCCCACCCCGAAAGAGGGGUACAUCACCCCAUGCUACCCCACGAGGGGAAUCACCAAUGAAAUCCAGUUCACCCAGACAGAUCCCACAAUCUGUAGUUAGAAGGGUGUUUAAUUAACUUGAAGUUUCAUCAACUGUUAUCUUCAUAAAAGACAGGUUUGAGUUAGUAUGUGAAUUCUGGAUACAUUGUGCUUCAAUAGUUUGUAUCUUUUUAAACUACCAAUAUUUUAAAUGUUUUUCUUUUUUGAUUCUUGGUAACUAUCAUAUACAUUGUAAUUCAAAACAAUUUUAUUAAAUGUUGAAUGUCAGUAUAACUCUGACCUUGACCAUAUAGAGGAUAAAUAACUGAAAUUAUUCCAUUUAACCUGGGUAAUAUAGACCUCUAUGUAUGUUAACCAUAAUAAUGUUGUUUUGCUUAAUGUAGUGCUAUUUGCUGUGUAUUCAAGAAUUUGUGGAAGGUCAGGUUUCAGUAUAAUGGGUCCCAGAUCCCAGAUAACCUUUUUGGACCUGGUGCAAUGUUGAUAUAAACGGUAGAUUGGGGUAAGAUGGUUUAUGUUUUCAUUCUCUCUUGUUGUCGCAUUUGGUAUUAAACGUAUCCUCGCAACUCUAAAAUAGUGUUGUUAGUAGUUAAAAACACGAGUAGGAAUUAUUGGAUAUUAUUAUCCAUCUUACCCCACAGUACUUUACAUAAAGGAAAUUAAUAGCAUUUACAACAAACAAGAAAUAUCCUAUUUUUCUGUGUUUCGUUUUUUUGUAGUAGUGUGAUCAAGAAAUAUAUUUGCACUGUGAUUUUGUAGUAAUUUUAAAAAAUUGCAUUCUUGCCUAAAGAAAAAUACCUUGCAUACUUCUAAAA